GACGAACGCUGGCGGCGUGCCUAAUACAUGCAAGUUGAGCGCUGACGGUUGGUACUUGUACCAACUGGAUGAGCAGCGAACGGGUGAGUAACGCGUGGGGAAUCUGCCUUUGAGCGGGGGACAACAUUUGGAAACGAAUGCUAAUACCGCAUAAAAACUUUAAACACAAGUUUUAAGUUUGAAAGAUGCAAUUGCCUCACUCAAAGAUGAUCCCGCGUUGUAUUAGCUAGUUGGUGAGGUAAAGGCUCACCAAGGCGAUGAUACAUCGCCGACCUGAGAGGGUGAUCGGCCACAUUGGGACUUGAACACGGCCCAAACUCCUACGGGGGGGAGUAGUAGGGAAUCUUCGGCAAUGGACGAAAGGCUGACCGAACAACGCCGCGGGAGUGGAGAAGGUUUUCGGAUCGGAAAACUCGGUUGGUAGAGAAGAACGUUGGUGAGAGUGGAAAGCUCAUCAAGUGACGGUAACUACCCAGAAAGGGACGGCUAACUACGUG
rnacentral:rRNA from 1 species